rnacentral:rRNA from 1 species
GAUGAACGCUAGCUACAGGCUUAACACAUGCAAGUCGAGGGGCAUCAGGAAGAAAGCUUGCUUUCUUUGCUGGCGACCGGCGCACGGGUGAGUAACACGUAUCCAACCUGCCCUUUACUCGGGGAUAGCCUUUCGAAGGAAAGAUUAAUACCCGAUAGCAUAAUGAUUCCGCAUGGUUUCAUUAUUAAAGGAUUCCGGUAAAGGAUGGGGAUGCGUUCCAUUAGGUUGUUGGUGAGGUAACGGCCCACCAAGCCUUCGAUGGAUAGGGGUUCUGAGAGGAAGGUCCCCCACAUUGGAACUGAGACACGGUCCAAACUCCUACGGGAGGCAGCAGUGAGGAAUAUUGGUCAAUGGGCGCUAGCCUGAACCAGCCAAGUAGCGUGAAGGAUGAAGGCUCUAUGGGUCGUAAACUUCUUUUAUAUAAGAAUAAAGUGCAGUAUGUAUACUGUUUUGUAUGUAUUAUAUGAAUAAGGAUCGGCUAACUCCGUGCCAGCAGCCGCGGUAAUACGGAGGAUCCGAGCGUUAUCCGGAUUUAUUGGGUUUAAAGGGAGCGUAGGUGGACUGGUAAGUCAGUUGUGAAAGUUUGCGGCUCAACCGUAAAAUUGCAGUUGAUACUGUCAGUCUUGAGUACAGUAGAGGUGGGCGGAAUUCGUGGUGUAGCGGUGAAAUGCUUAGAUAUCACGAAGAACUCCGAUUGCGAAGGCAGCUCACUGGACUGCAACUGACACUGAUGCUCGAAAGUGUGGGUAUCAAACAGGAUUAGAUACCCUGGUAGUCCACACAGUAAACGAUGAAUACUCGCUGUUUGCGAUAUACAGUAAGCGGCCAAGCGAAAGCAUUAAGUAUUCCACCUGGGGAGUACGCCGGCAACGGUGAAACUCAAAGGAAUUGACGGGGGCCCGCACAAGCGGAGGAACAUGUGGUUUAAUUCGAUGAUACGCGAGGAACCUUACCCGGGCUUAAAUUGCAGUGGAAUGAUGUGGAAACAUGUCAGUGAGCAAUCACCGCUGUGAAGGUGCUGCAUGGUUGUCGUCAGCUCGUGCCGUGAGGUGUCGGCUUAAGUGCCAUAACGAGCGCAACCCUUAUCUUCAGUUACUAACAGGUCAUGCUGAGGACUCUGGAGAGACUGCCGUCGUAAGAUGUGAGGAAGGUGGGGAUGACGUCAAAUCAGCACGGCCCUUACGUCCGGGGCUACACACGUGUUACAAUGGGGGGUACAGAAGGCAGCUAGCGGGUGACCGUAUGCUAAUCCCAAAAUCCUCUCUCAGUUCGGAUCGAAGUCUGCAACCCGACUUCGUGAAGCUGGAUUCGCUAGUAAUCGCGCAUCAGCCACGGCGCGGUGAAUACGUUCCCGGGCCU